rnacentral:rRNA from 1 species
GACGAACGCUGGCGGCGUGCUUAACACAUGCAAGUCGAACGGAAAGGCCCUGCUUUUGUGGGGUGCUCGAGUGGCGAACGGGUGAGUAACACGUGAGUAACCUGCCCUUGACUUUGGGAUAACUUCAGGAAACUGGGGCUAAUACCGGAUAGGAGCCCCUGCUGCAUGGUGGGGGUUGGAAAGUUUCGGCGGUUGGGGAUGGACUCGCGGCUUAUCAGCUUGUUGGUGGGGUAGUGGCUUACCAAGGCUUUGACGGGUAGCCGGCCUGAGAGGGUGACCGGCCACAUGGGGACUGAGAUACGGACCAGACUCCUACGGGAGGCAGCAGUGGGGAAUAUGGCACAAUGAGCGGAAGCCUGAUGCAGCAACGCCGCGUGCGGGAUGACGGCCUUCGGGUUGUAAACCGCUGUCGCCUGUGACGACGCGUGAGUGACGGUAAUGAGUAAAGAAGCACCGGCUAACUACGUG